UCAGUGCCCAGAUCCCUGCCGCUUAUCCCUCCAGACCUCGUCUGGGCCCUGCCUUUGUUCCCAUGCAGCAACUGUCUCCAGGAGAUGGAGAUGACAUCAGAAUAGCCGGAGCAGGUGUGAUCCAAGGUUCCGCAAGGAAAAGGAAGGAUGGUGUGGAGUGUGUUGCUGCAGGGAAGGCUUCCCAGUGGAGGUGGCUCCUGAGCUCUAGGAAAAGGGAAAUCUUGGUGAGACAACCUGGGCCCUGGAAUCCACCAUCUUUGUCUUUGGGAACUCCUUCUGGGCAGCCAUCUGCAGGCCUGAGUGUUGCAGCUAUCAAACUGGACCAGGGAUUCACCCAUCUCACAGAGCUGUUACAGGGAUGGAAACUAACCAGUGUGGGUUUCCUCUGCCUGGACCAUGCCUCUCACAGACAACCAGUCUUGUGGCUCAUUCACGCCCUCACCUCCUUUAGCAAUUGGCUGCAAUAUCUCCUCUCCCAGGCAUUACCUGAUUCCCCUUCUUGAAGUUGCAACUCGCUGCCUCUACUCAGUCCUCCCUCCCUGACCCCUCCCUUGCUUAUAUUUGUCGAGGGGAUAAUCACUGUCUUGUCAGAGACACAUCGGUAAUUACGAUGUUGAAUCAUAAGCUUUAUGGCCUUCUUUUGCACAGGCCCCUUCC